AUACAGAGGGCUCGAGCGUUAAUCGGAAUCACUGGGCUUAAAGCGUGCGUAGGCGGAUCUUCAGGCCUGUUGUGAAAUCCCACGGCUCAACCGUGGAAUUGCGAUAGGAACCGGAGAUCUUGAGUCAGGUAGAGGCGGGUGGAACGAUAGGUGGAGCGGUGAAAUGCGUAGAUAUCUAUCGGAACGCCAAAGGAGAAGUCAGCCCGCUGGGCCUGUUCUGACGCUGAGGCACGAAAGCGUGGGUAGCAAACGGGAUUAGAUACCCCGGUAGUCCACGCCGUAAACGAUGCGCACUAGACUGAGGGGGCUUGACGCUUUCUCAGUCGUAGCAAAAGUGCUAAGUGCGCCGCCUGGGGAGUACGGUCGCAAGAUUAAAACUCAAAGGAAUUGACGGGGGCUCACACAAGCGGUGGAGCAUGUGGCUUAAUUCGAAGCAACGCGAAGAACCUUAUCCUAGGCUUGACAUGUACGUAUUAACUCCCCGAAAAGGGAGCCACUCCCGCAAGGGCGGAACGUACACAGGUGCUGCAUGGCUGUCGUCAGCUCGUGCUGUGAAGUGUCGGGUUAAGUCCCUCAACGAGCGAAACCCCUAUCUCUAGUUGCUAACAGGUAAUGCUGAGGACUCUAGCGAGACUGCCGGUGUCAAACCGGAGGAAGGUGGGGAUGACGUCAAGUCCUCAUGGCCUUUAUGCUUAGGGCUGCACACGUGCUACAAUGGUACCGACAGAACGACGCACGACCGCAAGGUGGAGCAAAUCGCUAAAAGGUACCCCAGUUCGGAUUGGAGGCUGCAACUCGCCUCCAUGAAGUUGGAAUCGCUAGUAAUCGCGGAUCAGCUACGCCGCGGUGAAUAUGUUCCUGA
rnacentral:rRNA from 1 species